rnacentral:misc_RNA from 1 species
AAAAUGGAAGCUAAAGAGGAAGUUAUUUCUGUUGAGCUGCCAGCUCCUCCUGCUUGGAAGAAAAUGUACUUGCCAAAGAGAGUAGGUACACCAAGGAAGAGUGAAAUCAUAUUUAUUGCUCCAACUGGGGAAGAGAUUAGUACCAGGAAACAAUUGGAGCACUACCUAAAAUCACAUCCUGGUAAUCCUGCGAUAUCAGAGUUUGAUUGGGGUACUGGUGAGACGCCUAGGAGAUCAGCAAGAAUCAGUGAGAAGGCCAAGGCAACUCCAACGCCCGAUAAGGAGCCCCCAAAGAAGCGAAGCCGAAAAUCAUCAGGUUCAAAGAAAGAUACUAAGGAAACAGAGUCUGCCUCUGAAAAAGGUGAAGGUGAGAAAGAAACCCAAAUGCAAGAUGCGGAGGGAGCUGAAAAGGAAAAUUCAAAAGCAGGAAAAGAGAAUGAUGUUACCAAGGACAAUCAGAUACAGGAGGGAGAUGAAGAAGAGGCUCGCCAGACAAAGAAUGUUGACAGCAAAAUAGAAGAAGAUACUCAAGGGGAAGUUAAUAAGGAUGUGGAGAUCCAAGAGGAUGCUUGUGAAGAAAAAGAAAGAAAGAAUGAUCAUGAAGGAGCUGAGGAUACCCAGCAAUCAAUUGAAGUUCAAAAGCAGGGAAAUGCAGAGGCAGCAUUGAAGAACAAAUCUGCCGAAGAAGCUGCUUCUGGUGAAGGCUCUGCAGGAAAGGAGCCACUAACUGAGGUGGAGAAAGAGACUGUCCCAGGUGACAAGAGGGAUAUACCGGAUGCUGUGACUGUGGAAGCAAAUGGGGAAGCAGAGAAAAAGAACGCUAAUGGAACUGCCCCUGCAUCUGAGGUAGAGAUCAAAGAAAAACCAGAUAUACAGGAGAAUGAUGCAGAGCGUAACAUCUCUGUAGACGGGAAAGUGAAGACUACAGAUGGGGAAAUCACAGAAAAUCGUAAGGUCAGCCAAACAGGGCAAACUGAUGCCCUGCAAAAUCCAGCUCCUCCUGUGAGCUGCUGAAUGUACUGCACUAUUGUCCAUUGUCCGCUUAUCAUAGCUCUUGCCUAUUUUAGUUUGGUGACUUCUUGGAUUUCUGGGAUGACUGUAAGUCUGUAACAUUAGUGUCGUCGCAGCUAGAUGUCAUUGUAUGUUGAUGCUAGAUUUUAAUGUACGUAGGUAAAUUAUAUAUCACCUCAGAGUAGGUCGUAUUGCCUCAGCUUCUAUUACAUUGUGCAGGAACUCAAGA